GUAAUUACUUAACCGGGGAUAUUCCGACAAGUUUAUCAGCUUGUGUGGAACUGAAGUUGUUUGAUCUGUCUGAUAACAAUCUCAGUGGAAAAUUUCCCACAGGAGUUUGGAACUGGUCCCGACUCCAGGAGAUCUCUUUGAGUAGGAAUUCUAUCACAGGUAAGAUUCCAGCAUCAAUUGGCAAUUUUUCGAAUUUGGAGGUAUUUGAUAUCAGCGGGAACAGUUUUUAUGGGACAGUUGUGUCUGAAAUGGGACAAGUAUUCAGUUUGAGAAUAUUGAAUCUUCAAGCAAACAAUCUAAGUGGUGAAGUACCUCAAGCUAUCUUCAAUCUCUCCAUGUUACAAUCCCUUUCCCUUAGAGAAAACAAACCUAUACGGCAUUCUUCCAUUUUCUAUUGACACUGGCCUUCCAAACAUUGAGCACAUUUUUCUUGGAAAUAUCCAACAGAGGUUUGAUCUUCGAGCUAAUUGCUUCCAUGGAGAAAUCCCGAGUUCAAUCUCAAAUCUCUCCAAACUCAUCACACUGGAUCUUUCUGAUAACUCAUUCAAUCAUGUACCAAUGAACCUUGGGAGUUUACAUCAACUUCAGAUGCUAAACUUGGAAGCAAAUCAGUUGACAAAUAAUUUGUCCAACCCCGAACAGGACUUCCUCUCUUCCUUGGCAGCUUGCAAGAAUCUGAAGUCUAUACAGAUAUCUUUCAACCCUAUAACUGGGGUUCUCCCAAAAUCCUUAGGCUCGAGUAAUCUAUCUUUGUCCCUUGAAACCUUGAAAGCUUCCUCUUGCAGAUUGUCAUAUCCAAUUCCUGAUGAGAUAGGGAACUUAAGCAACUUGUUGUGGUUGAACCUCGGGUAUAAUCACUUCAGUGGAGCAGUUCCCUCGACACUUGGACGAUUAAGAAGCUUGAGGAAUUUGGAAAUCUAUGGCAAUAGGUUUCACGGCUCCAUCUCCUCUGUCUUGUGCAAUCUCAAUCAUCUCUACUCAUUAAAUGUGGCAGUGAACAAUCUCUCCGUACAAAUACCAAGCUGUUUUGGAAACCUUUCUUCGCUGAGAGAAAUCUAUAUGUCACACAAUGAGUUCAAUUCCAACAUUGCAUCAAUUUUGUGGUUUGAUAAGGGUGUUAGCAAUGUGAAGAACCUGAUAGCAUUGGACCUGUCUUGGAAUCAGCUCACAGGGAAGAUUCCACGCACCAUUCCACAGCUUCAGAGUCUUGUUAGACUAUCAUUGUCACGAAACAAACUGAAAGGCCCCAUAGUUGAAUCCUUUAGUCUUCUGAAGGAUCUGCAAUACUUGGAUUUGUCCCACAACAAUCUCUCUAGCCCGAUUCCUAAGUCUUUGGAGGCACUAUCGCAUCUCAAUCACUUUGAUGUAUCGUUUAAUGAGCUUACAGGUAAAAUCCCUGACAGAGGGUGUUUUGUCAACUUCAAAGCUGAGUUCUUCACUGGUAAUAAAGGUGUGUGUGGAGCACCUCAAUUCAAAGUGAAGAAAUGCCAAUCUUUAAGCAAGAGAAAACCUUUAAUAUAUAUAUCAUUUAUGAUAGUUCCUGUUAUUGGCCUUAUUCUCAUCCUGGUAUGGAAAUUUCACAUAAAACCUGCAAGGAAACAAUCUCCUUCGUUUGCUGAAAAUGAAAUAAACUUUACUGGCUUUCAUCCGAGAAGUAUUUCGCAUCAAGAAAUCCUUCGCGCCACAGGCAACUUUGAUGAAGAAAACUUGAUUGGCAGGGGUGGCAUUGGCUAUGUAUAUCUGGGAACAUUUUCUGAUGGAAUGAAGUGUGCUAUUAAAGUAUUUGAUUUAGAUGUACAAGAUGCGUUGAAGAGCUUCCAGACAGAGUGCGAAAUAUUAGGCGCAUUACGCCACAGAAAUCUUGUCAGGAUUAUCACUAGUUGUUGGCAGCCUGAUUUUAAGGCCUUGGUGAUGGCAUACAUGCCCAACGGCGACCUAGAAAAAUGUCUCCACUCUGCUAUUUGUUCCUUAGGCUUAUUUACAAGACUGAGAAUAAUGACAGAAGUGGCGAGCGCGAUAGAGUAUUUACAUGAAUUCUCUUGAGCCCCCACUGUCCACUGUGACUUGAACCCGAAAAACAUCCUUCUUGAUGAAGACAUGGUGGCACAUGUAGCCGACUUUGGCUUGGCCAAGCACCUCAGCGUUGGAGAGCGAAUGCUACAUUCUAGAACUUUGGGUACUGUUGGAUACAUCGCGCCAGAGUAUGGAUCUCAAGGAUUGAUCUCGACGGCAGUGGAUGUUUAUAGCUAUGGGAUUUUGCUGAUGGAAAUGCUUUCAAGAAGAAAGCCAACAGAUGAGAUGUUUUCAGGAGAGUUAACCUUGAGGGGAUGGGUCUCUGAAUCAUUCCCUGAUUCAGUGUUGCAAAUUGUGGACAAUGAGCUACUGGUUACGGGCGAUGACGGAGCUCGAGCCGCCUUCAUAACUUGCUUGACAUUGGUUAUCGGAUUAGCAUUAGAAUGCACGGCAGAUUUGCCCGAGGAGAGGCCUAAUAUGAAUGAUGUUCAAAUCAGGAUGACAACCAUCCGGUACAAGUAUGUGCAAAUGUCUCUCCCGAUUGUUGAUCCGGAGCGAGCAGGUAAUUUCAUAUUUACGUUUAUUGGGAUGGGUGUAGCGAGAAUUAUACAUGAACAAACACAUUCAACUAAUGUGGUUGUUCAUGUGUUGCAUGAAUUUAUUCAUCUCGCAUUCAUAUAUAGAUUUUAGGUGCUUAUUCAUGUGUUCUCAUUUAUCACAAAAGAUAGGUAUUCUCAUUUGAUCCAUUUUCUGUAUUUAUAUUUGCAUAAAUUCUGUUCAUCAUCAUGUUAGCUAGCUUUAUCUUGACAUGUUAUAUGCCACUGUUUACGAGCUAAUUGUUAAAAUAGGCAUGCAACUUUCAGUGUUUUUCAGAAAGAGGACAAUAUGUUACGGAAUUUGAAAA